GCAUAGGCGAUCCCGCACAACCUUUGCAAUGGACGCAUGGGCGCAUAAGUCACACAAAUG
rnacentral:rRNA from 1 species